rnacentral:rRNA from 1 species
GACGAACGCUGGCGGCGUGCUUAACACAUGCAAGUCGAACGGUGAAGCGCCUUCCUUUUUGGUGGGUGUGGAUGAGUGGCGAACGGGUGAGUAACACGUGAGUAACCUGCCCCCUUCUUCUGGAUAACCGCAUGAAAGUGUGGCUAAUACGGGAUAUUCUGGGUCUGUCGCAUGAUGGGUCUGGGAAAGAUAUUGUUUCGGUGGGGGUGGGGCUGGCGGCUUAUCAGCUUGUUGGUGGGGUGAUGGCCUACCAAGGCGGUGACGGGUAGCCGGCCUGAGAGGGUGGACGGCCACACUGGGACUGAGACACGGCCCAGACUCCUACGGGAGGCAGCAGUGGGGAAUAUUGCACAAUGGGCGCAAGCCUGAUGCAGCGACGCCGCGGGAGGGAUGGAGGCCUUCGGGUUGUGAACCUCUUUCGCCAGUGAAGCAGGCCUGCCUCGUUUGUGGGUGGGUUGACGGUAGCUGGAUAAGAAGCGCCGGCUAACUACGUG